rnacentral:rRNA from 1 species
AGAACGAACGCUGGCGGCAUGCCUAAUACAUGCAAGUCGAACGAACACUUCGGUGUUAGUGGCGCACGGGUGCGUAACGCGUGGGAAUCUGCCCUUGGGUUCGGAAUAACAGUUGGAAACGACUGCUAAUACCGGAUGAUAUCGAAAGAUCAAAGAUUUAUCGCCCAGGGAUGAGCCCGCGUAGGAUUAGCUAGUUGGCGGGUAACGGCCACCAAGGCGACGAUCCGUAGCUGGUCUGAGAGGAUGAUCAGCCACACUGGAACUGAGACACGGUCCAGACUCCUACGGGAGCAGCAGUAGGGAAUAGUUGGACAAUGGGCGCAAG